GAACAUGCUAGCUCAAUUUUGUAAAUGAGAAUAGGAAGCAAGGAAUGAAAUGCUGCAUUCUGACCCACUUGUAGCACCACAUGGGCAUGGCUUGGUCUUUGGGGUUUUGUAUAUUGCUUCGCUGCAAAGGUUAUGACACUUGCCACUUGGGCACAAAACAAUAAAAAGUGUUGCUGCUGCAGUGUUAACUGCGGUGUCUUCCAUCACAUUGGUGACUGCAUCCUGUCGCCUAGCAACUACACGGCAGAUUUUUUUCCUCGGGAAGGAUUCCUUGGCAUCACCUGAGCGGAGAGAUUGCAGAAGGAAAGGAGGAUGAGGUGGAAACCUAUGGGUGAAUAUACAGGAUGCUCUCAUAAUUACUACAAUGUAGGUAAAACUGACAGUCCAGAGAAAAUGUGGAAGACGCUGUGUGCCAUGUCAAUUCAGCUGUUCUCUGAGUCAGAACCCGGCAUGCAAAAGAUCUUUACGUGCUUCUUCUCCCUCUGUGUGCUGGCAACCAUCACUUUUUAACAGCCCAGAGAAAUAUGGAAUGCAGAUUGAAAAAGAGCUCUGAUUGUUUCAUUCUGCCAGGAGCUCAGAGACAAUCAUUACUCUUCUGGAAACAAAAGCUGGAGGUAUGUGAUAUCAAGGACUUACAGAAAACCAAAACUGAUUAAAAACACAGAUGAAACUAUUAAAGAAUGCAAUAACAAAAAUGAUAUUUGUAAUCUAUAAGAAUGACAAAUAAAUAGGAAUAUAUGUUGAACUUAACAAAAUGAGACACCACAGCUUACACCCAGUGAGGCAACAUGCAUGAAAUGUAGGGUACAGCUACAUUAUAGAAUUAAUGCAGUUUGACACCACUUUAACUGCCAUAUAUUCUCCAUCUCAAAUCCUUAUCUAUCCUUGCUGCAGCCU